rnacentral:rRNA from 1 species
GGCGGCAUGCUUUACACAUGCAAGUCGAACGGCAGCACGGGGGCAACCCUGGUGGCGAGUGGCGAACGGGUGAGUAAUAUAUCGGAACGUACCCGGAAAUGGGGGAUAACGUAGCGAAAGUUACGCUAAUACCGCAUAUGCCCUGAGGGGGGAAGCGGGGGAUUCGCAAGGACCUCGCGUUUUCGGAGCGGCCGAUAUCGGAUUAGCUAGUAGGUGAGGUAAAGGCUCACCUAGGCGACGAUCCGUAGCUGGUCUGAGAGGACGACCAGCCACACUGGAACUGAGACACGGUCCAGACUCCUACGGGAGGCAGCAGUGGGGAAUUUUGGACAAUGGGCGCAAGCCUGAUCCAGCCAUGCCGCGUGAGUGAAGAAGGCCUUCGGGUUGUAAAGCUCUUUCAGCCGGAAAGAAAACGCACGGGUUAAUAACCUGUGCGGAUGACGGUACCGGAAGAAGAAGCACCGGCUAACUACGUGCCAGCAGCCGCGGUAAUACGUAGGGUGCGAGCGUUAAUCGGAAUUACUGGGCGUAAAGCGUGCGCAGGCGGUUUUGUAAGACAGAUGUGAAAUCCCCGGGCUUAACCUGGGAACUGCAUUUGUGACUGCAAGGCUAGAGUACGGCAGAGGGGGGUAGAAUUCCACGUGUAGCAGUGAAAUGCGUAGAUAUGUGGAGGAAUACCGAUGGCGAAGGCAGCCCCCUGGGUCGAUACUGACGCUCAUGCACGAAAGCGUGGGGAGCAAACAGGAUUAGAUACCCUGGUAGUCCACGCCCUAAACGAUGUCAACUAGGUGUUGGGGGAGGAGACUUCCUUAGUACCGCAGCUAACGCGUGAAGUUGACCGCCUGGGGAGUACGGUCGCAAGAUUAAAACUCAAAGGAAUUGACGGGGACCCGCACAAGCGGUGGAUUAUGUGGAUUAAUUCGAUGCAACGCGAAGAACCUUACCUGGCCUUGACAUGCAGGUGGUAAAAGCCUGAAAGGGUGAUGACCCCGCAAGGGGAUCCUGCACAGGUGCUGCAUGGCUGUCGUCGGCUCGUGUCGUGAGAUGUUGGGUUAAGUCCCGCAACGAGCGCAACCCCUACGUCCUGUUGCCACCCAGUCAAAAACUGGAGCACUCUGGACGGACUGCCUCGCUCAAACGGGGAGGAAGGUGGGGAUGACGUCAAGUCAGUAUGGCCCUUAUGGCCAGGGCUGCACACGUACUACAAUGCCUGGUACAAUGGGAAGCGAUGCCGCAAGGCGGAGCAAAUCCCCUAAAACCAGGCCCAGUUCAGAUUGUCGGCUGCAACUCGCCGACAUGAAGCUGGAAUCGCUAGUAAUGGCGCAUCAGCUACGGCGCCGUGAAUACGUUCCCAGGCCUUGUACACACCGCCCGUCACAUCAUGAAAGCCGGCUGUACCCGAAGUCACUGAGCAAACCGCAAGGGUGCAGGUGCCGAAGGUAUGGCUGGUGAUUGGGA